GGCCGGUUAGCUCAGUCAGUUGAGAGUAGCGCUAACAAAGCUAAGGUCGCGGGUUCAAUUCCCGUGUUGCCUG
rnacentral:tRNA from 1 species